UCCUGACAGCGAAAGCUGACUUAUCCCAGACAGGAGAUUAUCAUG
rnacentral:ncRNA from 1 species